CCUACGGGUGGCAGCAGUGGGGAAUAUUGGGCAAUGGGCGCCAGCCUGACCCAGCAACGCCGCGUGCAGGAAGAAGGCUUUCGGGUUGUAAACUUCUUUUAAGAGGGAAGAGCAGAAGACGGUACCUCUUGAAUAAGCCACGGCUAACUACGUGCCAGCAGCCGCGGUAAUACGUAGGGGGCAAGCGUUGUCCGGAUUUCCUGGGUGUAACGGGCGUGCAGCCGGGAAGACAAGUCAGAUGUGAAAUCCCAAGGCUCAACCGCGGAACUGCAUUUGAAACUGUUUUUCUUGAGUACCGGAGAGGUCAGCGGAAUUCCUUGUGUAGCGGUGAAAUGCGUAGAUAUAAGGAAGAACACCAGUGGCGAAGGCGGAUGACGGGACGGCAACUGACGGUGAGGCGCGAAAGCGUGGGGAGCAAACAGGAUUAGAUACCCUUGUAGUC
rnacentral:rRNA from 1 species